AUCGAUGAAGAACGCAGCGAAAUGCGAUAAGUAAUGUGAAUUGCAGAAUUCAGUGAAUCAUCGAAUCUUUGAACGCACAUUGCGCCCUCUGGUAUUCCGGAGGGCACACCUGUUCGAGCGUCAUUACACAAAUCAAGCCCUGCUUGGUGUUGGGUGAAGCCCUUAGGGGCCCGCCUCAAACCCCUCGGCGUCGCCGUCCGUCUUCGAGCGCAGCGAGAUAACUUUCCAGCGUUUUCGACACGGGCCACGUCCGCCGCAGAACAUACCUUUAUUUCUAUCAAGGUUGACCUCGGAUCAGGUGGGGAUACCCGCUGAACUUAAGCAUAUCAAUAAGCGGAGGAAAAGAAACCAACAGGGAUUGCCUUAGUAACGGCGAGUGAAGCGGCAACAGCUCAAAUUUGAAAUCUGGUCCUUUCAGGGCCCGAGUUGUAAUUUGUAGAGGAUGCUUUGGUGUUGGCCCCGGUCUAAGUUCCUUGGAACAGGACGUCAUAGAGGGUGAGAAUCCCGUAUGUGACCGGUGGCCCUCCCCGUGUAAAGCUCCUUCGACGAGUCGAGUUGUUUGGGAAUGCAGCUCUAAAUGGGAGGUAUAUUUCUUCUAAAGCUAAAUACCGGCCAGAGACCGAUAGCGCACAAGUAGAGUGAUCGAAAGAUGAAAAGCACUUUGGAAAGAGAGUCAAACAGUACGUGAAAUUGUUGAAAGGGAAGCGCUUGCGACCAGACUUGCCCGCGGUUGUUCAACAGGUCCUUGGGCCUGUGCACUCUUCCGCGGUCAGGCCAGCAUCAGCUUGGGCGGUCGGAUAAAGGCUGCGGGAAUGUAGCUCCCCUCGGGGAGUGUUAUAGCCCGUGGUGUAAUGCGACCAGUCCAGGCUGAGGCCCGCGCUUCGGCUAGGAUGCUGGCGUAAUGGUCGUAAGCGGCCCGUCUU
rnacentral:rRNA from 1 species